rnacentral:sRNA from 1 species
UAUUAUGAUGACCGAUGGGCGGCUUGAAUAAUGAUGAUCCAUUGUAGCACUGAUAAAAA